rnacentral:rRNA from 1 species
UAGCCACGGUAAUACCCGCUCCCCCGAGUGGUGGGGACGCUUAUUGGGCCUAAAGCAUCCGUAGCCGGCUGGGUAAGUCCCCUGUUAAAUCCAGCGAUUCAAUCGCUGGACUGCGGGGGAUACUGCUCAGCUAGGGGGCGGGAUAGGCCGGCGGUAUUCCCGGGGUAGGGGUAAAAUCCACUGAUCCCGGGAGGACCACCAGUGGCGAAGGC